AGCGAACGCUGGCGGCAGGCCUAACACAUGCAAGUCGAACGAACCCUUCGGGGUUAGUGGCGGACGGGUGAGUAACACGUGGGAACGUGCCUUUAGGUUCGGAAUAACUCAGGGAAACUUGUGCUAAUACCGAAUGUGCCCUCCGGGGGAAAGAUUUAUCGCCUUUAGAGCGGCCCGCGUCUGAUUAGCUAGUUGGUGAGGUAAUGGCUCACCAAGGCUACGAUCAGUAGCUGGUCUGAGAGGAUGACCAGCCACAUUGGGACUGAGACACGGCCCAAACUCCUACGGGAGGCAGCAGUGGGGAAUCUUGCGCAAUGGGCGAAAGCCUGACGCAGCCAUGCCGCGUGGAUGAUGAAGGUCUUAGGAUUGUAAAAUCCUUCCACCGGUGAAGAUAAUGACUGUAGCCGGAGAAGAAGCCCCGGCUAACUUCGUGCCAGCAGCCGCAGUAACAC
rnacentral:rRNA from 1 species